UGCAGCCCAAAGAGGGUGGUAAACUCCAUCCAAGGCUAAAUACAAGCACGAGUCCGAUAGCGAACAAGUACCGUGAGGGAAAGUUGAAAAGUACUUUGAAGAGAGAGUAAACAGUACGUGAAACCGCAUGCAGGUAAACGGGUGGCGUCAAGCUGCGAACCCAGAGGAUUCAGCUGACUAGGAUGUUGUGAUGUGCCUGGCGCAUCCAUCAGUCGGAAUAAGAUGUGAUAGUCCACUGGGAGACGGUGGGCCCGGCCGCAAGGUUGGGAUAUGUGUACCGGGUGUUAGCCGGAGCAUGCUAUUCAUCUGUUGGGCUGUCUAGUCAGUGCAUUUUCUCUGUGGUGAACACCACGACCGGUGGAAUUGCCAGUCUGCUGUAGUCGAUUCUUGCUGAGAGGGUCCUUGUGGCCAACUUGGUGAGAUCACAGGCAAUGUCAGUGUACGGCGUGGGAGUGCCUUUGGUGUUCCUACGUGUUAUCGGGUGCUGCUUGUCAACGGGCCUGCUCGGUAGUUGUUGUAACUGCUGCUGGGUGGUCUGGUGGGCUAUGGUGGUAAUAAAAACUGUGCAAGGCACCGGAGAUGUCGGCCCCAAGAGCUCUCUAUGCUGACACGUUACAAGUGUGAGGGGGUGCCAUUGCAGUUUGCCUGUUGUUGAGUCUGAUUGUCGUGUCGCCUGCGCAAAGUGGGCCCGGCAGUGGCUUGAUGCAGGAUGGGCUGUGGAUGGUGUCUCUCAGGUGUAGAGGGCAGUGGGCCCAAUAGUCAGUGGUGCUGUGGUAGACGAGCUACCCGACCCGUCUUGAAACACGGACCAAGGAGUUUAACAUGUAUGCGAGUCAAAGGGCCCUACGAAACCCCAAGGCGCAAUGAAAGUAAAGCUUCGACUUGUUCUCGGAGUGAGGUGAGAUCCUGCCGUAACUCGCAUCGCUUGGUGCCAGCAUCAGGCAAAGAGCGGUAGGCGCAUCACCGGCCCGUCCCAUGAUGUGGUCAUUGGAUGUCUGCGGUCGUUGGCAAC
rnacentral:rRNA from 1 species